rnacentral:tRNA from 2 species
GGGCCCGUAGCUCAAGGGAAGAGCAGCCGGCUCAUAACCGGUUGGUUGCUGGUUCGAAUCCGGCCGGGCCCACCA